rnacentral:tRNA from 1 species
UGCGGGGUAGAGCAGCUUGGUAGCUCGUCGGGCUCAUAACCCGGAGGUCGUAGGUUCGAAUCCUACCCCCGCUA